rnacentral:rRNA from 1 species
GAGUUUGUCGGUUGGUCGGGCUUCACUGUCCGCACUGGCCUGAUGGAUUCCUACCUUCUGAAUAACCAGCAUGCUAUUAAGUUAGUGCGUUGGGGAAGCAGAGCUAUUACUUUGAAAAAAUUGGAGUGUUUAAAGCAGGCUUACGCCUGAAUACAUUAGCAUGGAAUAAUAAAAUAGGACGGCAUGAUUCUAUUUUGUUGGUUUCUAGGAUCACCGUA